CCCUGGCAGUGCAGGCAACAAAUAAGACAUGUCUGAUUCAUCAAGCGGACAUCGCUAUAAAGACCACUCUUUCUCCUUUGUCCCAUUUCUCUCUCCCUCUCUCUCUCUCUUGCUCUCUCUCUCUCUCACCCCUGGGCCACUUCACCCUUUUUUACUCCGUCCACCUUCCUCUGGCUAAAAUGUCUUAGCCUGAAUUAGUGGAAGGAGCUUUAUCCUUAUACAUAUACCUGUGGAAUUGCAGCAUAGCUAUUUCUUUAAGAUAAUGUCAGUUUCUAAAAUGCACCAUCUGCUGUUCAGUGCAUGCUGGGAAAGGCUCGUUCCAGACAGGAGAUGUUAAGGCCUGUUGCAGAUCGACCAUAAAUCCCAAACUUAGUCGUCCUUUUUGUCGCAAAGGGAUGUUGCUGUCUGGCCGAAGAUGGAACGUGGAUGAAGGCUGGACAGAGACCUCUAUGACAGCCCCUCUGAGGACUGAAUGGACAGCGGCGUCUGAUGAAUGGCCAGCCUCCCUCUUAAUCACAAAGCACUCGCACCAAGUGAGACACAGCAACAAAGGCAUCUAUGAGGUUCUUAAAAUACCUUCGCUGACAAACUAACUUUUGGUGGUUUAUCGCUGUUUCUCUUUUGCAACUGGUCAUGUCAACAAUUUUUUUUCUUUUUUUUUAUUGUAUAUUUGUAUGUCAUUGUAUUUUAUAUUAAAUGCAAGAAAAGUUAGAUUGAUAGUGCCUUCCGCUAAAGUCUUCUUUUACACGGAUUCUAAUACUUUGUACUUUGUACUGUUCAAAUGAUAUAUAGGUAUUUCAUAGAUUACAUUGUAACAGUACAGACAUAUAUGGUGUACAUGUCUUUCUUUCUAAGGGACUUGUUAUUCUCUAUUUUCACGUUUCCCCUUUCUCUUUCACAUGCCCUGAUUCUCUUGAAUUGUAGAGAAAGAAGUCAAAUUUGUCCAAGGGGGCAUAAAAAAGUAUUUUGUCUUUGUUGUAAAGGGUUUUGGCUGAAGACGAUCCCAUGCGUCAGAGGACCAGGUGUGUAUUAUUUCACAGCUGAAAAACAUUCCCUGCUUAAGAUUUUUUCAAAAUAAAACGUGAUGUUUUAUCAUUCACUGGGAAGGAGUGAACCCAAGGAUGAUCAUUGAAUCAUUUCGAUCUCUUUACAACUGGGCAAGAUUGGUUUACAUAAAGGCCAGAAAGACUUACAGCAUUCUUCCCUACAAAACGGGAGUGUCUGAGUUUGGCCUACACACAUGACAUUUAACUGUAUGCUGAAAAUGUUUUAUUUCCUCUCCCAAGGUUGCAAUGUGUGUUCACAAAAAGCUUUUGUGUACUUGAUGUGAAAAUCAUAUUUCAUCCUGAGUCCCAUUUAGGAAUAGCUAAAUGUACUGUAGGUCCUAAUAGUCAGGGAAAAGGCUUGUGUCAGUGGAAAAAGGUGACCCUAAAUACAUCCUUCACUGUUUGCACAUUGAUGAGUGGCAAGCAAAAUUGUCCUUCAGAGCCUGUUAUUAUUUGAGCAAGCUAUUGCAAUGCACGGCGCACAGUGAGCCUGGAGCAUAGGUUGCAUUUUGCUGUACACUCCACUGCAAAAUGGGACUAGUCAAGCCCUAAUGUAACCAGCAAAAGCUGGAUAAAAAUCUAUACAAACUCAAUUAUGAAUCAAUUUGAGUUUGUGUCAGACAGUCUGGUGCCAACAGAGUGGAUUUUUUAUUAACUUAUGGUCUGGGAAGAAUGAAACACUUUUCAUUUGUGUACUUCAGUAUGUUGCUUCAUGAUUCAGAGGAAGGGUGUUCACACUUUGUUUUUGAGGGAUUUAUCUCUCAUGGUGGACCGGCUGGAGGCAAACAGCAUUUGUGUCCUGAUUAUGGAGUCAUGAUAGUUAAAUCCUUACGAUGUGAGAAGAUAGAGAACCCCUUUUGAAAAGCAGAAGGUAGCUCAACAGUUGAUUAAGUAAUUAAGAUUAAAUCCCUCCCACAUUGAUUCGUCUUUCCACGCUGCUGUAUUACAUUUGAGUACAGAUUUUUUUUUUUUUUUACCGUGCACCCCACUGUCCUGCUCCAGCGUAUCAAACUAGGUCACAGGCUUGAAUAUUCAUGAUCCUCUAUGACAACUCCCUGCUAUUCCGUGUCAAGACCUAUGUUAAUUCUGAGAUUUGCACAUUUGAGCCUGCUUGAAACUCUUUAGCUUCACUACUUCAGAUCCUGAGAACCAGGUUGACAACCUUAGCAGAAAAGGAAACAUUGUGCUGUACGAGACUCGGAAGAAAUGUGCCAAAUAUCCAAAAGUUUGGUGUACAUUUAAAGCAAGUAGGUUCUCUGCUUGACAAAUGGCUGCCAUUUUGAAGGGUCACUCAGGAAACAUCUGUGAUAGCUUGAGAUGUUAUUGAUUUCAACGAGAUAGCCAUGUGGCCAAUGGGAUUUUCUAGAGGAUGCUGUUGUUCUGCACGCACGUAAUGGUCAGUUAGACCCACAGCUAUUCAACAUUACAAUACACCUGUCAAUCAUUGUCCGUCGCGUAGUUAUCAUCUGCCAGUUGCCAUUUCUGUUCUAUUGUUGUGUGUGUGUGUGUGUGUGUGUGUGUGUGCGUGCGUGCAUCCACACAAACACUCAAGGGUUCCAUUAAAAGUUGCCCUACAGUAGUUGGUCCUUUUUUGUGCCUAACUCCCACACCUGACACUUGCCUGGAAUACAUGCUCUGUCCCUUAAGGUCAAUAAAGCACUACAGAAUU
ensembl:lncRNA